rnacentral:rRNA from 1 species
CCCUUAGAUGUUCUGGGCGGCCCGCGCACUACAUUGGCACUGGCAACAAGAUCCUAGAUCUGAUAUUUCGGGGUAUUCUACCAACUGGUGUCGUGACUGGGAUUAACCCCUGCAAUUAUUGGUUAUGAACGAGGAAUUCCUUGUAAUCACGGUUUAUCAACCCGUGUUGAAUGCGUCCCUGCCCUUUGUACACACCGCCCGUCGCUCCUACCGAUGAAUCGUCCGGUGAAGUUCAUGGAGUCGCGGCUGCUCCAGCUGUUUUCGAAGUGAAAUGGACCUCNUNAUUUAUNGGAAGGAGAANUCGUANCA